rnacentral:rRNA from 1 species
CGGGUGCGUAACACGUAUGCAACUUGCCCUAUACUGGGAGGAUAGCCCGAAGAAAUUCGGAUUAAUAUCCCAUAACAUCAGGAUAAGCAUUUAUAUUGGUUCAAAGCUCCGGCGGUAUAGGAUGGGCAUGCGGUCGAUUAGCUUGUUGGUGAGGUAACGGCUCACCAAGGCGACGAUCGAUAGGGGGCCUGAGAGGGUGAUCCCCCACACUGGUACUGAGACACGGACCAG